rnacentral:rRNA from 1 species
GACGAACGCUGGCGGCGUGCUUAACACAUGCAAGUCGAACGGUGAUGCUCCAGCUUGCUGGAGUGGAUCAGUGGCGAACGGGUGAGUAACACGUGAGCAACCUGCCCCAGACUCUGGAAUAAGCGCUGGAAACGGCGUCUAAUACUGGAUACGAAACUGGCCCGCAUGGGCAUGGUUUGGAAAGUUUUUCGGUUUGGGAUGGGCUCGCGGCCUAUCAGCUUGUUGGUGAGGUAAUGGCUCACCAAGGCGACGACGGGUAGCCGGCCUGAGAGGGCGACCGGCCACACUGGGACUGAGACACGGCCUAGACUCCUACGGGAGGCAGCAGUGGGGAAUAUUGCACAAUGGGCGAAAGCCUGAUGCAGCGACGCCGCGUGAGGGAUGACGGCCUUCGGGUUGUAAACCUCUUUCAGCAGGGAAGAAGCGAAAGUGACGGUACCUGCAGAAGAAGCACCGGCUAACUACGUG